rnacentral:rRNA from 1 species
GACGUAGGGUGCAAGCGUUGUCCGGAAUUAUUGGGCGUAAAGAGCUCGUAGGCGGCUUGUCACGUCGGGUGUGAAAGCCCGGGGCUUAACCCCGGGUCUGCAUUCGAUACGGGCUAGCUAGAGUGUGGUAGGGGAGAUCGGAAUUCCUGGUGUAGCGGUGAAAUGCGCAGAUAUCAGGAGGAACACCGGUGGCGAAGGCGGAUCUCUGGGCCAUUACUGACGCUGAGGAGCGAAAGCGUGGGGAGCGAACAGG